CCUACGGGAGGCAGCAGUGGGGAAUAUUGGGCAAUGGGCGCAAGCCUGACCCAGCAACGCCGCGUGAAGGAAGAAGGCUUUCGGGUUGUAAACUUCUUUUGUCAGGGAAGAGUAGAAGACGGUACCUGACGAAUAAGCCACGGCUAACUACGUGCCAGCAGCCGCGGUAAUACGUAGGUGGCAAGCGUUGUCCGGAUUUACUGGGUGUAAAGGGCGUGUAGCCGGGUUGACAAGUCAGAUGUGAAAUCCUGCGGCUUAACCGCAGAACUGCAUUUGAAACUGUUGAUCUUGAGUACUGGAGAGGGAGACGGAAUUCCGAGUGUAGCGGUGAAAUGCGUAGAUAUGAGGAGGAACACCAGUGGCGAAGGCGGUCUGCUGGACAGCAACUGACGGUGAGGCGCGAAAGCGUGGGGAGCAAACAGGAUUAGAUACCCCAGUAGUC
rnacentral:rRNA from 1 species